rnacentral:misc_RNA from 1 species
GAUGAAGAACGCAGCGAAAUGCGAUACGUAGUGUGAAUUGCAAAUUCAGUGAAUCAUCGAGUCUUUGAACGCACAUUGCGCCCCCUGGUAUUCCGGGGGGCAUGCCUGUCCGAGCGUCAUUGCUGCCCUCAAGCACGGCUUGUGUGUUGGGCCCCGUCCUCCGAUCCCGGGGGACGGGCCCGAAAGGCAGCGGCGGCACCGCGUCCGGUCCUCGAGCGUAUGGGGCUUUGUCACCCGCUCUGUAGGCCCGGCCGGCGCUUGCCGAUCAACCCAAAUUUUUAUCCAGGUUGACCUCGGAUCAGGUAGGGAUACCCGCUGAACUUAAGCAUAUCAAUAAGCGGAGGA